rnacentral:lncRNA from 1 species
GAAAACCUAGCAAGAUCGAGGUCAAGGUGGAAGACAAGGAAGAACUCGAAGGAGCUCGCAAAUCCACCUCCACUUCCACCACCACCACCACCACCACCUCCGCCACCUCCACUCCCACUGCAUCUACCACUCUCCUCCACCACUUCGACCGCGCCAAAGACCCCUCCGCCAAACCCCAACGCAUCGGCCUCUCCUCCUAAACCUCAACCCUAAUCCAAUCCCCAAUGGAGGUCGAGGUCAAGAUCCGCCUCCCAGAUUCCUCCACCCACCGCGCCGUCUCCGCUCUCCUCUCAUCGUUUCACCGCGAAACCCAGCGCCAACAGAACCUCUUUUUUGACGGCGCCGCCGGUGAGCUCUCCUCCCGUCGCGCCGUCCUCCGCCUCCGAUUCUACGGUGACGAUGCC